GGCGCUGUGGCCCGUCGGGUGGCUCCAGAGAGCCGCCCUAGCCUUCCGCCUUCCCCAAGCCAACGUCUCCGCCGUCGGCUCCGCGGCGCCGCCAUGGCCGACGUGGAAGACGGAGAGGAAACCUGCGCCCUGGCCUCUCACUCCGGGAGCUCAGGCUCCAAGUCGGGAGGCGACAAGAUGUUCUCCCUCAAGAAGUGGAACGCGGUGGCCAUGUGGAGCUGGGACGUGGAGUGCGAUACGUGCGCCAUCUGCAGGGUCCAGGUGAUGGAUGAGGGAAUUGGAGUUCAUAAUUGGUCCGAGGCCCUGAACCUAAUAAAUGCCAGUGAAAUGGGAUUUGACCGUAGAUCUGGCUCCACAGCCCUCGCUUUCCCCUCUGUCUCACUGGCUUCUCACCAGCCUUGUCUGGAUGACCGUCAGUAGCAACCUAUUGGAAGCAUACAAAGCAGUUUAUUUUAGAGGAACUCUCAAGUGUCUUAGGGUAGAAAGUAAAAAGUUGCUUCUUAGGAGUUGCUAAAGGAAAGCUUCUGUGUCAGUAAGUAUGGAUGACUUUAAAAAACUUGUUUAUGAAAGAAGCAAUUUUUUAAUUUAAUUUUUUGUAAGUUAUAUAUUCAUAUAGUUCAGAAAUUGAGGAAGGUAUGUAUAUUACCUGGAAGAGGAGU
rnacentral:sRNA from 1 species